AUUGAACGCUGGCGGCAUGCCUUACACAUGCAAGUCGAACGGCAGCACGGGUGCUUGCACCUGGUGGCGAGUGGCGAACGGGUGAGUAAUACAUCGGAGCGUACCUUAUCGUGGGGGAUAACGCAGCGAAAGCUGUGCUAAUACCGCAUAAGCCCUGAGGGGGAAAGCGGGGGAUCGAAAGACCUCGCGCGAUUAGAGCGGCCGAUGCCUGAUUAGCUUGUUGGUGGGGUAAAAGCCCACCAAGGCGACGAUCAGUAGCUGGUCUGAGAGGACGAUCAGCCACACUGGGACUGAGACACGGCCCAGACUCCUACGGGAGGCAGCAGUGGGGAAUUUUGGACAAUGGGGGCAACCCUGAUCCAGCAAUGCCGCGUGAGUGAAGAAGGCCUUCGGGUUGUAAAGCUCUUUUGUCAGGGAAGAAACACCGGCUCUAACACAGUCCGGGAAUGACGGUACCUGAAGAAUAAGCACCGGCUAACUACGUGCCAGCCGCCGCCGUAA
rnacentral:rRNA from 1 species